UUUAAUAUAUUUACAGAAAACAAAAUAAAAUAUAUAAAUAAGGAGAAUAUUUAUGAGCUGCAACCAGGAGAAGCCCUUAUAUUGCUAAUUACAGUGCCAUGUUUUUUUUUCUGGAAGAGCAAUCUUUAGCUCGCAGCUAAAGAAAAGAGAGCUCAUGAAUCAACAGAGAUUUUAUCACUUAUCCAGCUCGGAGUGUCCAAUGACGUCAUCUACCACAAUAAAAUAUUAUUUAGCAGAGAUAUAGACAUGUAAUGACAAAAUGAUUCAGUAUAGCAUUAAGCGUUUAUUGUAAAUGCUCUAUAUUUAAGAUGUAUGUGUAAAUAAUAUAGAUUUAAUUUUGCAUAAA